UGGGGAAUCUUCCGCAAUGGACGAAAGUCUGACGGAGCAACGCCGCGUGAGUGAAGAAGGUUUUCGGAUCGUAAAACUCUGUCUUUUGGGGCGAACGUGAGUAUGGUGAACAAUCAUAGUCAGUGACGGUACCAAAGGAGGAAGCCACGGCUAACUACGUGCCAGCAGCCGCGGUAAUACGUAGGUGGCAAGCGUUGUCCGGAAUUAUUGGGCGUAAAGAGCGCGUAGGCGGGAUAGUCAGUCUGUUGUAAAGUGCGGGGCUCAACCCCGUGAUGGCAAUGGAAACAGCUAUUCUUGAGUGCAGGAGAGGAAAGUGGAAUUCCCAGUGUAGCGGUGAAAUGCGUAGAUAUUGGGAGGAACACCAGUGGCGAAGGCGACUUUCUGGACUGUGUCUGACGCUGAGGCGCGAAAGCCAGGGGGAGCGAACGGGAUUAGAUACCCCCGGUAGUCCUGGCCGUAAACGAUGGGUACUAGGUGUGGGGGGUAUCGACCCCUUCCGUGCCGGAGUUAACGCAAUAAGUACCCCGCCUGGGGAGUACGGUCGCAAGACUGAAACUCAAAUGAAUUGACGGGGUCAUAGCUGUUUCCUG
rnacentral:rRNA from 1 species